AACGGCCAUACCAUGCUGAAUAUACCGGUUCUCGUUAGAUCACCGAAGUCAAGCAUCAUUGGGCGCGGUCAGUACUUGGGCGGGUGACCACCUGGGAACACCGUGUGCCGUU
rnacentral:rRNA from 1 species